AUUGAACGCUAGCGGGAUGCCUUACACAUGCAAGUCGAACGAGUGGCGAACGGGUGAGUAAUGUAACGGAACGUGCCCAGUAGCGGGGGAUAACUACGCGAAACGUAACUAAUACCGCCUACUAUUGGAACGGCCGGUCACGGAUUAGCUAGUUGGUGGGGUAACGGCUCACCAAGGCGGCGAUCCUGAGCUGGUUUGAGAGGACGACCAGCAACACUGGGCCUGCGCAACGGCCCAGAUCCCUCCGGGAGGUAGCAGGGGGGAAUUUUUGACAAUGGGGGAAACCCUGAGCCAGCCAUCCCGCGUGUGCGAUGAAGGCCUUGGGGUUGUAAAGCACUUUUGUCAGGAAAGCGGUACCUGCAGAAUAAGCACCGGCUAACUACGUGCCAGCCGCCGCGGUAAUUC
rnacentral:rRNA from 1 species